ACAUACGGCCAUACCUGCCAGAAUAUAUACUGGAUCCCGUCCGCUCUCCAUUCGUCAAGCUGGUAAGGGGCAGAUUAGUAGUUGGGUCGGUGAUGACCAGCGAACACCGGCUGCUGUAUGUU
rfam:Hirsutella minnesotensis 3608 unplaced genomic scaffold MNSD_Scf_31, whole genome shotgun sequence.